rnacentral:rRNA from 1 species
AAUUACCCAAUCCUGACACAGGGAGGUAGUGACAAGAAAUAACAAAGAAGGACCAUACUGGUUUUUCUAUUGGAAUGAGCAGAAUUUAAAUCUCUUUUCGACUAUCAAUUGGAGGGCAAGUCUGGUGCCAGCAGCCGCGGUAAUUCCAGCUCCAAUAGCGUAUGUUAAAGUUGUUGCGGCUAAAAAGCUCGUAGUUGGAUUUCUAGAUGAGAGGAGUGGUCCACUCUAUGAGUGUGUAUCUACUUCCGCUCGUCUAUCCGCUCUGCAAACGUGUCUGCGCUUGACUGCGUGGCGCGGAGGUAGGGCCUUUUACUUUGAGGAAAUUAGAGUGUUCACGGCAGGCAAUCGCCUUGAAUAUAUUAGCAUGGAAUAAUAACAUAGGAUCUUGGUUCUAUUUUGUUGGUUUCUAGGGCUAAGAUAAUGAUUAAUAGGGACAAUUGGGGGCAUUCGUAUCGCGGUGUCAGAGGUGGAAUUCUUGGAUUACUGCGCGACGAACUACUGCGAAAGCAUUUGCCAAGGAUGUUUUCAUUGAUCAAGAACGAAAGUAAGGGGAUCGAAGACUAUUAGAUACCGUCGUAGUCUUUACCAUAAACUAUGCCAACUAGAGAUGGGGCGUCGUUCUUACAUGACUCGCUCCGCACCUUAUGAGAAAUCAAAGUCUUUGGGUUCC